rnacentral:rRNA from 1 species
UACGAAGGGUGCAAACGUUGCUCGGAAUCAUUGGGCGUAAAGCGCACGUAGGCGGCUUCGCAAGUCGGAUGUGAAAUCCCUCGGCUCAACCGAGGACGUGCAUCCGAAACUGCGGAGCUUGAGUACUGAAGAGGAUCGCGGAAUUCCCGGUGUAGAGGUGAAAUUCGUAGAUAUCGGGAGGAACACCAGUGGCGAAGGCGGCGAUCUGGGCAGUUACUGACGCUGAGGUGCGAAAGCGUGGGGAGCAAACAGG